rnacentral:rRNA from 1 species
UCUCUUCGGGGAUGAUUAAACCGGCGCACGGGUGAGUAACACGUGAGUGACCUGCCUUUUAGACUGGAACAACUUACCGAAAGGUGAGCUAAUGCCGGAUGAGUUAUAUAAGUGCAUGUUUAUAUAGGAAAAGUUGGGGAGACCUGACGCUGAAAGAUGGACUCGCGUCCCAUUAGCUAGUUGGUAGGGUAAUGGCCUACCAAGGCGACGAUGGGUAGCCGGCCUGAGAGGGUGGCCGGCCACACUGGGACUGAGACACGGCCCAGACUCCUACGGGAGGCAGCAGUGGGGAAUUUUGCGCAAUGCUCGUAAGAGUGACGCAGCGACGCCGCGUGAAUGACGAAGGCCUUCGGGUCGUAAAGUUCUUUCGACAGGGAAGAAAAUGCCUAUAAGUAACUGUGUAUGUAUUGACGGUACCUGUAUAAGCAGCCCCGGCUAACUCCGUGCCAGCAGCCGCGGUAAUACGGAGGGGGCGAGCGUUGUUCGGAGUGACUGGGCGUAAAGAGCACGUAGGCGGUGUUGUAAGUCAUUAGUCAAAGACUAGAGCUCAACUUUAGUAAGGCUAGUGAUACUAUAAUACUAGAGUAUCAGAGAGGAUUGCAGAAUUCCUGGUGUAGCGGUGAAAUGCGUAGAUAUCAGGAGGAAUACCGUUAGCGAAGGCGGCAAUCUGGCUGGAAACUGACGUU